rnacentral:hammerhead_ribozyme from 1 species
AUCCAGCUGACGAGUCUCAAAUAGGACGCAACAGGCGUCCUAAAU